rnacentral:rRNA from 1 species
CAAUAGCGUAUAUUAAAGUUGUUGACGGUUAAAAAGCUCGUAGUUGGAUUUCUGCCGAGGACGACCGGUCCGCCCUCUGGGUGAGUAUCUGGCUCGGCCUGGGCAUCUUCUUGGAGAACGUAUCUGCACUUGACUGUGUGGUGCGGUAUCCAGGACUUUUACUUUGAGGAAAUUAGAGUGUUUCAAGCAGGCAUACGCCUUGAAUACAUUAGCAUGGAAUAAUAAGAUAGGACCUCGGUUCUAUUUUGUUGGUUUCUAGAGCUGAGGUAAUGAUUAAUAGGGAGUAGUUGGGGGCAUUCGUAUUCCAUUGUCAGAGGUGAAAUUCUUGGAUUUUUGGAAGACGAACUACUGCGAAAGCAUUUUACCAAGGAUGUUUUCUAUUAAUCAAGAACGAAAGUUAGGGGAUCGAAGAUGAUCAGAUACUAU